GCCGCACCACCGUCCACGCGGCGUCUGCUGAGCAGAAACGGGCAAAGGAGAGGCAUCACUGGGCGGCAGAGGCCAGCAACAAGAGGCAAAGCAGACCGGUCUUUUAUGUGAAUUAACGUUUAAUUGAAAUUUACAUUACUGCAUGUUUGCCGCGAUUUGAGGAGUUGGACCUGUGUAACAAUGUACUGAGCCAGAACUCAGCCUCUAAGAGAAAGCAUAUUGGAAGAACUGAUGACCAAACUUUUGUGACGUCACGCCUAAAAAUGUAUCAUGCAAGAAAGCAUGCAAACUCUGAAGCACAGUGUAAAACACUGA
rnacentral:lncRNA from 1 species